rnacentral:sRNA from 1 species
CUCUUUUUAUUUACACGGGAGCACUCCACAGUGUUUUGCAGCUUUCCUAUUUCACUAAACUACAGCCCAUUCUGCUCUGAUAAGUAGCAGCGUUGCCCUCGAUUGGCUGCACCCGAGUUCUGACCCUCCUCCUCCAGCGAGGGCCUCGGCAGCCAGCAAGAUGGGCUCCCGCUCCCGGAAUGGACUCGGAAACUUUAACUGCGGCUCCACCUGCUGGUGUGGAUUAGGACAAAGGCGGAGAACAAACCUCGUGUGCAAGCUGAACACAAGGACCACCAUCCUGGCAGCAACGAACCCCAAAGGCCAGUACGACCCCCAGGAGUCGGUGUCUGUGAACAUUGCCCUCGGCAGCCCACUCUUAAGUCGAUUUGACCUGAUCCUGGUUUUGCUUGAUACCAAGAAUGAAGACUGGGAUCGUAUCAUUUCCUCCUUUAUCUUGGAAAAUAAAGGUAUGUGAAGACAAACAAAG